AGCUGGCGAGUCGGCGAGCUGGCGAGUUUGUUAAUGCAAUUUUCCCCUCCAUCGGUUGCUAUCGUCUCCAUAGUGCCGUAAUAUUUAUUAUUACGUGUUGAAAAUUCAAAAGGAACAUUUUCUGCAGAUACCAACGAAUGUUUCAGAAUACAGUUUCAGAAUACUGUUAUUCCACAACGCAAGAAAUUAAUUG